UAAACAAAAACAACUCUCGGCAACGGAUAUCUCGGCUCUCGCAUCGAUGAAGAACGUAGCGAACUGCGAUACUUGGUGUGAAUUGCAGAAUCCCGUGAACCAUCGAGUCUUUGAACGCAAGUUGCGCCCAAAGCCAUUAGGCCGAGGGCACGUCUGCCUGGGCGUCACGCAUCGCG
rnacentral:rRNA from 1 species